GGAACAGGAGGUCAUGGAGGGUGAGAACCCCGUACAUGGCUUGGGCGCGACUAGGAGAUGUGACGCAUCCUCUAAGAGUCGGGUUGUUUGGGAAUGCAGCUCAAAAUGGGUGGUAAAUUUCAUCUAAAGCUAAAUAUGGGCGAGAGACCGAUAGCAAACAAGUAGAGUGAUCGAAAGAUGAAAAGUACUUUGAAAAGAGAGUGAAACAGUACGUGAAAUUGUUGAAAGGGAAGCGUUUGGCAUCAGCCCAUGGCGGUGGUACGAACAUCCUUGCUUUUGCAUGGUGCACUCGUCCACCGUUGGGCCAGCGUCGGCUCUGCCUGCCAGAGAAAGGCCUUGGGGAAGUGGCUCUCCCUUCGGGGAGCGUGUUAUAACCCAUGGUGUCAUGUGGCUUUGGCGGGGCCGAGGUCCGCGGUUUUGUCCUAGGACGCUGGCAUAAUGGUUCCAAGCGACCCGUCUUGAAACACGGACCAAGGAGUCUAACAUCUAUGCGAGUGUUUGGGUGUCAAGCCCGACCGCGCAAUGAAAGUGAAUGCAGGCGGGAGCCCCUCCA
rnacentral:rRNA from 1 species